UGAGUCUGCAUGCAUCCUAUACCUUUUUGAUAGCAUCGUUGGUACGUAUUGAUUUGUUUUAUUGUUCAUUAUCAUCUCAGGUGAUUAUUUUUGUGACAAUGUUUAGUUUGGAUAUUUUUGUGCACAUGGCCUAUUGAGUCAUUCGGGUUGGUAACUGCACUGCUAUGGUUGUCAUUAAAGUCCAUAUGACUUAAUAAACAACAAAGUAAAUAAGCAUAAAUAUAUAAAGUAGCGGUCGAAGAAAAUGCACUUCAUUUGUAUUUAUUAUGUCUUUUGUGUGUUUUAGUUUUACUCUUUCUCAUGUCAAUAAACCUGUGGACAACGGACCAUUGUCUUCAGAGUCGUGAUGUCAGAAAAGAGUUCGUCUAACUGCCAAGGUGUAUCGGAGCGCAUAUACCGAGGGCGGCAUAGUAAAACAACGCUUUCUACCGGGCAAGACAACGCAGCCAACUGACAGAUGCUACUAACAACGUCAUCACACGCAACCAGUGGAUGACCAUCACAGCGGUGUCUAAACAGAGUUUUACUCUUUCUCAUGUCAAUAAACCUGUGGACAACGGAC